rnacentral:rRNA from 1 species
CCUACGGGUGGCAGCAGUGAGGAAUUUUGGACAAUGGGGGAAACCCUGAUCCAGCGACGCCGCGUGAGGGAUGAAGGUCUUCGGAUUGUAAACCUCUUUUGCCUGGGAAUAAUAGGGCGAUGAUAAGCCACGGCUAACUUCGUGCCAGCAGCCGCGGUAAUACGAAGGUGGCAAGCGUUACUCGGAAUUACUAGGCGUAAAGGGCAGGUAGGUGGUUUGGUUAGUCUGUUGUGAAAGCUCCUUGCUUAACGGGGAGAGGCCAACAGAUACUGCCAGACUUGAGUAUGGGAGAGGUUACUGGAAUUCCCGGUGUAGCGGUGAAAUGCGCAGAGAUCGGGAGGAACACCAAUGGCGAAAGCAGGUAACUGGACCAUACUGACACUCAGCUGCGAAAGCUAGGGGAGCAAACAGGAUUAGAUACCCUUGUAGUC